UGGGGAAUAUUGGACAAUGGGCGAAAGCCUGAUCCAGCCAUGCCGCGUGUGUGAAGAAGGUCUUCGGAUUGUAAAGCACUUUAAGUUGGGAGGAAGGGCAGUAAGCGAAUACCUUGCUGUUUAGACGUUACCGACAGAAUAAGCACCGGCUAACUCUGUGCCAGCAGCCGCGGUAAUACAGAGGGUGCAAGCGUUAAUCGGAAUUACUGGGCGUAAAGCGCGCGUAGGUGGUUCGUUAAGUUGAAUGUGAAAGCCCCGGGCUCAACCUGGGAAUUGCAUCCAAAACUGGCGAGCUAGAGUAGGGCAGAGGGUGGUGGAAUUUCCUGUGUAGCGGUGAAAUGCGUAGAUAUAGGAAGGAACACCAGUGGCGAAGGCGACCACCUGGGCUCAUACUGACACUGAGGUGCGAAAGCGUGGGGAGCAAACAGG
rnacentral:rRNA from 1 species